rnacentral:rRNA from 1 species
GUAGGUGGCAAGCGUUGUCCGGAAUUAUUGGGCGUAAAGCGCGCGCAGGCGGUCCUUUAAGUCUGAUGUGAAAGCCCACGGCUCAACCGUGGAGGGUCAUUGGAAACUGGGGGACUUGAGUACAGAAGAGGAAAGCGGAAUUCCAAGUGUAGCGGUGAAAUGCGUAGAGAUUUGGAGGAACACCAGUGGCGAAGGCGGCUUUCUGGUCUGUAACUGACGCUGAGGCGCGAAAGCGUGGGGUAGCAAACAGGGAUUAGAUACCCUGGUAGUCCACGCCGUAAACGAUGAGUGCUAAGUGUUAGGGGGUUUCCCGCCCCUUAGUGCUGCAGCUAACGCAUUAAGCACUCCGCCUGGGGAGUACGGCCGCAAGGCUG